rnacentral:rRNA from 1 species
GAUGAACGCUAGCGGCAGGCCUAACACAUGCAAGUCGAGGGGUAGCAGGAUUAAGCUUGCUUAAUUGCUGACGACCGGCGCACGGGUGCGUAACGCGUAUGCAACCUACCUUAUACUUGGGUAUAGCCCGGAGAAAUUCGGAUUAAUCCCCCAUAGUACUAAUGAAUCGCAUGGUUUAUUAGUUAAAGCAUUGCGGUAUAAGAUGGGCAUGCGUCCUAUUAGCUAGAUGGUGAGGUAACGGCUCACCAUGGCUACGAUAGGUAGGGGGCCUGAGAGGGUGGUCCCCCACACUGGUACUGAGACACGGACCAGACUCCUACGGGAGGCAGCAGUGAGGAAUAUUGGUCAAUGGGCGCAAGCCUGAACCAGCCAUGCCGCGUGCAGGAAGAAUGCCCUAUGGGUUGUAAACUGCUUUUAUUUGGGAAUAAACCUCUUUACGUGUAGAGAGCUGAAGGUACCAAAUGAAUAAGCACCGGCUAACUCCGUGCCAGCAGCCGCGGUAACAC